ACGAGAGAGCAGUAUGCUCUGUUACAUUUUAUAUUGUAUACAUUUGUAAUAUACUAUUAACAUAAUAAGGUACACUUUAACUUCACUAUAGUCAAGCAUUGGAUAAACCAAUUAACUGUGUUUUACCACAAAAUAACCAUGGUUUUGCUAAUAAUAAUCAUACACCAAAAAAAACAUGGUUACUAAACUUUUACCAUAAAAAAACAUUCAUUUUCGUAAGGGGAAUAUGAGUGUUUGUUUUUUUGUAGUUUUUGAGUCAAUUGCAUACCGCUUUUAGCUGUACACAUUAAUUAACUUAAACAGUUUUCGUAAAUGCAUUUCAGAGAAAAGUGAAUUCUGAGAUUUGAAUAAUGCAUCUGACGUGUGGGAUGACGUCACGACGCACGUAUUUUGAUUUUUACCAGUCGCUCAAGACAGACGGAUUCAGUCCCAAGAAGCUAAAGUUUUUCAAAGACAUUUGUAGGGAGGACUUUGCAGCUAAUGAUUUCCUAAGCCUGAACCAAAACCUGCCAGACUAAAGUUGAUUUGGGAGAGAAAGACGUUGUAAACUUAAUCAUCUUGACAUUCUUCAAUGAGUAAUUGUUCAAUUUUUAGGCAAAUACUGUACACUUUGAAUGCUGUGAAUAAAACUAUAUUUUAAAUAUA